AAUUCCAAUCUCAUCAAGCACCUGAUUUACAAGCUCUUCUGUUUCUUCUUCUUCAGCAUCUCCUUCCAAAGCAUCAUCAAUAGCAUCCCCCAUCACCUCAGUAACCAUUUCCAUCUUUUCGUUCUGCCUCUCAAACUCUUGCAUUAUCUUCUGCAAUGAUGGCAAGUUCAUCUGCCUAUUCAUCUGGCCCAUUGCCUUUGUGACACCUUUCAUGGCCUCCCCCAUUGCUUGAGU
rnacentral:misc_RNA from 1 species